rnacentral:rRNA from 1 species
GACGAACGCUGGCGGCGUGCUUAACACAUGCAAGUCGAACGGAAAGGCCCUGCUUUUGUGGGGUGCUCGAGUGGCGAACGGGUGAGUAACACGUGAGUAACCUGCCCUUGACUUUGGGAUAACUUCAGGAAACUGGGGCUAAUACCGGAUAGGAGCUCCUGCUGCAUGGUGGGGGUUGGAAAGUUUCGGUGGUUGGGGAUGGACUCGCGGCUUAUCAGCUUGUUGGUGGGGUAGUGGCUUACCCAGGCUUUGACGGGUAGCCGGCCUGAGAGGGUGACCGGCCACAUAGGGACUGAGAUACCGCCCGUACUCAUUCGGGAGGCAGGAGCGGGAAAUAUUGCACAAUGGGCGGAGUCCUGAUGCAGCAACGCCGCGUGCUGGAUGACGGCCGUCGGGUUGUAAACCGCUUUCGCCUGUGACGAAGCGUGAGUGACGGUAAUGGAUAAAGAAGCACCGGCUAACUACGUG